CUACGGGGGGCAGCAGUGGGGAAUCUUAGACAAUGGGGGAAACCCUGAUCUAGCGAUGCCGCGUGAGUGAUGAAGGCCUUAGGGUCGUAAAGCUCUUUCGCCAGGGAAGAUAAUGACUGUACCUGGUAAAGAAACCCCGGCUAACUCCGUGCCAGCAGCCGCGGUAAUACGGAGGGGGUUAGCGUUGUUCGGAAUUACUGGGCGUAAAGCGCACGUAGGCGGAUCAGAAAGUUAGAGGUGAAAUCCCAGGGCUCAACCCUGGAACUGCCUUUAAAACUCCUGGUCUUGAGUUCGAGAGAGGUGAGUGGAAUUCCAAGUGUAGAGGUGAAAUUCGUAGAUAUUUGGAGGAACACCAGUGGCGAAGGCGGCUCACUGGCUCGAUACUGACGCUGAGGUGCGAAAGCGUGGGGAGCAAACAGGAUUAGAUACCCUAGUAGUC
rnacentral:rRNA from 1 species